UACAGAGGCCCCGAGCAUUACCCGGAAUUACUGGGCGUAAAGAGUGCGUAGGUGGUUGUGUUAGUCGUCCGUUAAAUAUCCCGGCUCAACCGGGAACAUGCGAACGAAACGGCACAACUCGAGGGAGUGAGAGGUGAAUGGAACUCUAGGUGUAGGGGUGAAAUCCGUUGAUAUCUAGGGGAACACCGAAAGCGAAGGCAAUUCACUGGCACUUUCCUGACACUCAAGCACGAAAGCGUGGGUAGCGAACGGG
rnacentral:rRNA from 1 species